GGCCUUCCUCUCAGUCAAUCUAGGCCUAGGCCUGCUCAGUAAAAUCCACCAUGUGAUCGUGAGAGGCGAGAUCGGAGAGGUGGCCCGCAGCAGGCCUUAUUUUCCUGUGUUUGAUUAAGUGGACAUAAAUUAAUGUGGAACGACAACAGUAUGAAUACAAGAUGUGUAGAUCUACGUGAUGGAACGACAACAGAAUAAACACAAGAUCUGGAGAUGCCGUAUCUACCUGUUCCAGUCCAGUAGCUGUCAGUCCUCCAGCAGCAUCUGCUUGUCUGAUAAUCGGAUUGGAUCCCUGUGUGGCACACUGCAACAAAGAACACAAUGGGUCACGGUGGCACCAGUGUUCAAGAGAACUCUGGCUCUGUGAGGGACAAAAGACUGCUGACUAGGGCAAAAUGUCUCAAGUGUGAUGUUUGUGGUACCUGUUGUUCAGAUUGGAGCAAUCUACGGAGGCACAAGAGAUGACACACGGGGGAGAAACCUUACAAGUGUGAAGAUUGUGGUCCCCAGUUUUCAGAAAGUGGCCAUUUACGCAGGCAUAUAAUAUAAGAAUACAUACCAUACAGGAGAAAAGCCGUUCAGCCGAGAGGUAUGUGGUUCAAGUUUUGUGCGUAAUGGUGAUCUGAAGAGACACACAAGAGUUAUCACCACUGCAAGUCUUUCAGGUGUGAUGUUUGCAGUAUGCAGAAAGAAGUCACCUGCAGAGGCUCUUGAAAGUAGAACACACACAGGAGAAAAGCCCUAUAAGUCAAAGUGUGAAGUUUGUGGUUCUGGGUUUUCAGACAGUGGCAACUUGCAGAAACACAUAAGAAAACACAAGGGAAAAGCUGUACAAGUGUAAAAUUUGUGGUGUUUGUUUUGCUGAAGGUAGUAACUUUAAAAGACAUGAAAGAACUCACAAGAGAAAAGCUGGCCUGGUUUGAAGUUUGCCAGCUCAAUUUUUUUUUCUUCCUAAUUUGUAAUUUGAAAUUUAAUUGAAUUUGUGAUUUGAAGAGUAGAAGGAAAAGUUUUCCAAUACUAGUGUGUUUGAGAUGCAGCUUUGUCACAGAAAAUCCUAGUUUAUAUUGCUUGUGCUGCACGGAAAACGAGUUUUAAAGUCUGUGUGGCUUAGCUGUUUGGGGGAAGCAAAAAAUAUUGGAUUCACAAAUCUUUCGUUAAAGAAAACAGUUUGUAUUGUUAUAUGUGUGACGAUAUGGUGGAAUCAUGCAUUUUGUCAAUUUUGGGCAUGAGAUGUUUUUGUCAUCAGCCUGUUGAUUUAUCUUGUUUUUGAUGAAAAAAUAGCCCUCUUAGAUUUCUUUAAUAGAAGUUAAGAUUUCUGCAAUUGAAAAAGAUGUUGGCACCCUCAUCUAUGAGGUAAAAUUAUUGAGGAAAUGGCCGCCAAAGUUUACAGACUCCCAAGGCUGGCAUAUCUUUGAGAACUGAGAAUUUACAUUUUUGGAAGUUGUUAGGGGCGCGUACCAUUCCCGAACACUGCACUGUUAGGGAUGCGUACACUUCAACAACACUGCACUAUAAUGUUAAGUACUCACACGCUUCCACUGCACUCUGGAAUUAUUGACCCGUAUUUGUGAUAUCGACAGAGUAGUACAUAGGCAAAUGAUUCCCAAGCUGGUACAUGUAUACCAGCCUGUAUGUAUGUGUUUGAUAUGUAUUACAUACAUGUGUUUGAGAAUCCAUAUAUAUAUAUAUAUGUGUGUGUAUGCCUGUAUGUAUUUUUGUUUGUAAUGCAUGUAUACUACUCAAGUAAGAACUCUACCAGUUAUGCCCGCCAACCGCCCCAUAGUGUGAGAGGAAGAAGAAGAAAACCAUGUGUAUUCAGUAAGCAUGCAAGCAUGUAUGUGAUUGUGUGUUAGUAUCGUCAUUCAAUUUUUAUGUAUCAUGUGUGUAGAAGAAGAUGUGUAUAAAUCUCAGGGUGUAAAAAAUCUUUAGUAAGGUAGUGUUUUGGCACCACUCAAUAAUAAUGGAUGUGUAUGUAAAGUAAACAUGGAGUAUGGUUAAGACUUUGAGCCUGCAUGCACAUACCUCUCAGUGAAGUAUACACUAAGACAUCGUCGGUGGCUCUUUCUGUCUGUGGAGACAAUGGUUGCGCCUUUAUGUCACUCCUGUCGAGAACAUCGUCUGGAUUGGCUCAAAAGUCCGUUUUAAGCUUGAAAGUCUCUGCCCCACUUGUUGCAGGUGAAGGCCGAAGGCGAGUCAAAGGCUUGAUUUUGCAGCCUCUCUUUUCUGUCGCUUCUUCUGUCCAUUUCCCCCCCCCAGAAGACUGUCUUCGUUUUGAAGCUGAGCGCCCUCUGGAAACACUAUGUGCCCCAUGCUUUUUAUCAAGCACAAUCAUGGUUUGUCUGAGGUUACCUCUAGUGGUCACAGACAGUGAUUGGGAUCGUGGUAUGGGAACAAUGUUGGUUGGAAGAGCGUUGUCCACCUCUCCGUCCACUCCUCCGUUCCCCUCACGGACAGAGUGUUCACUCUCCCUGGUUUUUGUCGGAUCCUUAGAUCCGGGCUGUUGCCUGUCCUGAUUUAUAUAUGUAAUAGCCUACAUGUUGUCAUUAAAAACGUGUUGGAUAAACCAAAUAAUUACACUGGUAGCCAGCAAUGCUGACAAAAACCACAUUUUGGACUUGAAGUUCGAACAUAAGCCUUCACAUUCGUAAUCAUACCAUUCCAUGCAAUAGUCACAUUGGACAAUUUUAAGCAGACCAUCAUCAGAAUCUCCACAAGCAGGACAUACAAACUCUUACAAACUUUCUCAGACAGUCUAUGAUGAACUUCCAUGAAUGCCUACUCAGAGAAAAACUCAUUGACAGCAGAGAUAUCCACCUGUGGAUCCACACAGGGAGACAUGUCUUUUGAACUUUUCAGUUUAGAAAUGUCCUAUGUGUGUCAGAUCCUCUGACACGAGGCAGGCCAACCCAGACAAAAUAAUUGUUUGUUUGACAUUGUUAUCACAAACGUCAAAUGACUGGGGACAAUUAGCUUUCCUUUUUCGUCCAGUGGAAUUUUGUUUCACACUGGGGCAUCCUUUUGUCUUUAACUUGACAAGUUUGACUGAUGAGAAAUGUACAUCAGCAGUACUGCUAGCACCAUCAGUUAGACCAUCAGAAUCAACAGAUGCAACAUUGGCUGGAACAUCUCCAUCAAUGGAACUGACAAUUGGACAAUUGAUAUCGACCACAAUGUCAACAGGAACAUCAACAGGUGCAACAUUAGGAGCAAUAUCAACUGGAACAUCAACAACAGGAUCUACAUCAGCAUCAAUAAUGACAACAUUAUUUUCUUUCCAGGUUGUUAGCAACUGCUGCAAUUGGGCAGUUUUGAGUUGAGGUGUGUCCAUGUUUUUAAAGUAGCGCACCGCCCUGGGUAUGACCACCAGUUUGUAGUAAAGUACUGAACAUUAGGAGGGGGCUCAUAUUCGUUAUUGCCUCCUUCAGUUCUUCGUAUUCCUCUUCAAAAACUGUUUGGCAUUGUUUGUCAAACAGGUCAAUUAUGUACUCAAGAAGAUGCUUCCCCAUUCCAUUGCUCUGAAGAGCUUGCUUUAUGACCUGUUUCACAUGGAAGUUGCAGAGGGAAACUGCCGCUGAUAUCUCUGCCAUGUCCUUAUCAACAAAAAAGUGGAAACCUCCCCAUGGACUUCUUACUUCUAGCAAGAAACGUAGACAUUCUACAAGGUGCUCCUUGUCCUCAUGGUAAAAGUAACCAUGCAGUAUUGGAUGGCCUGCCUCAUUAUUGUCUAUGCACACGACAGUUGUCAUCCGUAGCAUGUAGCCAUUUGUCUUGUGCGUUGUGUCAGCAACCAAAGCAUCCGGAAAUGCUUGAGCCAGUUUUAUUUGCUCUGCAGACAUAUAUAUUAAGAAUUCAAAGCAUCCAGUUUGAUUUUUACCGAAGCGCACCCGAUCUCCGGGUUUUGUUAUCUCGUCUAUGAAUCUGUCGACUGGCUGAAGAUCAUCUCCCUCGUGAGCUGACAGUUUCAGUUGUAAGUUUGUGAUGUCGGAACAUAGCAAUGGUUUCUUCUGCGUUCUCUCUACGUGCAUGCGUCAGUGAUUGAGGGACUUUUAAGCAGAGCCUCCAAUUUAGAAUCCUUUUCAGCCUUGUUGUUGUUCAGAUGCUCGCCAAAUCUGAACGAAAAUUCAAUGAGCUGGAGGUAUUUUGAAAAUAUAAGAAGACUGUAUGAUUCAGCCUGAACGUUUUGUAGGGGCUUUUAUUAUUAUUAGAAAAAAAAGGUUGAAAAACUACUACAAAGUUCUCUGUCAGUGCCAGCGGGUAAUACCAUUCUAUUUUGGUUGCCAAGCAGUUGUCUAGAAACAUCAAAAAGUUCCUUACCAGUUUUAACAUGUUCAAAUUUAGACAAAAAGAAAGUUCGUUUGGCCUUGGUAAUCAUUUUAGUAGCAGAAUUCUUCUUAAAUAUAUUUCCCUAUAAUGCUUUUCAAGUCGUUUUCUUUUCCAUUUUCUUUCCUCUUGUCUUUUUUCUUCUUUUUUUCUGUCUUUAUUUCUAAAUUAAACCACUUACCAACAGGAGGAUGAGGUCAUUUCCUUUCUUUUUAAGAGAGGUGCAUUAUCAUCUAAAAUUGUCCUCAUGGUGGUGUUGACUGUUGAGGGUUUUUAUGUUAUAGGGGAGCUCGUAGCGAGAGCGUCACGAAUAUCAACAUUGAAACUUGGGUAAAUUUAUAUCUUUCAAAUUCCGAGAAUGAACUGGUUUUUACUUCUUUCCUUGGUCGUUUUAUUUCCAAGUCGACGAUCAGAAGAAAAUGAUCCGAAAUGUCUUUAUCCGGAACGUUUAUGCUUUCCACACAGUUCUUUUCGACAGGGGAGAUAACCCAAUCUAGGAUUUGCUGACUUUAAUGUGUUGGUACUUGGACGAGUUGUUUUAAAUCAUUUUCUGUCAGCAGGUUGCAUAUAUUUUUAGUGACAGGAUUUUCAGAGCCAAAGUGAAAAUCAAAAUCGCCAGGUAUGAUGAAUGGUGCAUUUUUCAUCUUCAGAGCAGAAAUUCAAAUUGAGUAAUUCCUCCAUAAAAGCGGAUGGCUUGAUAUAAUUUACUUCUCUCGGUGGGGGCCUAUAGUAGAAGAUGGUAAUGCUUUGGGACUGCAGCAGGAAUGACAGUAAAGCAGCCUUACGUGAGUGACAGGUAUUCUUUUUUUCCAGUAACUUGUGGUAAAUCAGUUCUAUAAAUAAACGCUACUCCUCCUCCUCCUCUACGCCUGGCACGAGGGAAAGACGUAAUUAAAUAACCAGCUGGGCAUAUUGCUGAUUAAAAUAGCCUAAUCACCGUACUCCUGUAACCAUGAUUCUGUAAUACAUACAAUAUCGAGGUUCAUUUCUUUUAUUAAAUCUUUUAAUUCCUCCACUUUAUUACGCCAUGACCCGGAGUUGAGGCAAACUACUCAGAUUUUUUGUGUUACUUCUUGCAAAAAAUUUUGACGGUUGAUUUUGACCGAAUUAUUAUUAAUGUUGAUUCGGUUUUCCAGUCUACUGUUGACCCAUGAAUUUUCUAAUUAAUCAUAAACACGAGAUCUUA
rnacentral:lncRNA from 1 species